rnacentral:tRNA from 1 species
GCCGGAUUAGCUCAGUGGUAGAGCAGUUGAUUUGUAAUCAUCAGGUCGCGAGUUCGACUCUCGCAUCCGGCUCCA